AGAAGAACCAUAGUCAUCUUCUACUUCAAAUUAUCAUUUCUACAUUAAUGUCCAUGGAGACAAAUCCACCAACCUCCGAGUUAAUGUCGCCGGUCCAUAGUUUCCCCAACAGGUUCUUUAGCAGCGACUUCCAUACUGAUGAGGAAUUAAAUGCUCAAGCUUCAUCUCACGUCGUCAUCUUCAUCUCGGCUGUGCUCAUGCUUGUUGAAAGCUGAUUUCUAGAGUAAGAAACAACAAUCUUCAUCAUGUUUAUCAAGAACACACAGAGAGAAGCAAGUUUGAAGAUCUUCAUCAUGUUUAUCGUAUGGUUCUAGAUUCGGACGGUGAUGGAUACAUGGGAAAUAAGAUCCAAUUCUCAGGACCGUUGGUUUCGUCAAACGUGGAUCAGAUGCUCAAGGAUCAUGACCAUGUUUAUGUUACAGCA